AGCGAACGCUAGCGGCGGGCCUAACACAUGCAAGUCGAGCGCAUACCUUCGGGUAUGAGCGGCGGACGGGUGAGUAACGCGUAGGUCAUCUACCCUUUGGUGGGGGAUAACCCAGGGAAACUUGGGCUAAUACCGCACGAGGUCUACGGAUCAAAGCCUUCGGGCGCCAGAGGAUGAGCCUGCGUCGCAUUACCUAGUUGGCGGGGUAACGGCCCACCAAGGGGGACGAUGCGUAGCUGGUCUGAGAGGAUGAUCAGCCACACUGGGACUGAGACACGGCCCAGACUCCUACGGGAGGCAGCAGUGGGGAAUAUUGCGCAAUGGGGGAAACCCUGACGCAGCCACGCCGCGUGGGUGAUGAAGGCCUUCGGGUUGUAAAGCCCUGUCGGGAGGGACGGAAUUCUUGACGGUACCUCCAAAGAAAGCACCGGCUAACUCCGUGCCAGCAGCCGCGGUAAU
rnacentral:rRNA from 1 species